rnacentral:rRNA from 1 species
GACAGAGGGUGCAAACGUUGUUCGGAAUUACUGGGCGUAAAGCGAGUGUAGGCGGUCUGAAAAGUCGGAUGUGAAAGCCCCGGGCUCAACCCGGGAAGUGCAUUCGAAACUGCCAGGCUAGAGUGUCGGAGAGGUUGGUGGAAUUCUCGGUGUAGAGGUGAAAUUCGUAGAUAUCAGGAGGAACAACAGAGGCGAAGGCGGCUCACUGGACUGUUACUGACGCUGAGGCGCGAAAGCGUGGGGAGCAAACAGG